AGCGACCCUCCCAGCUCAGCCUCCCAAGUAGAUGGGACUACAGUGAAAGCACAUGUAUAUUACAGUGCACAUCUAUCGGCAUCUUCCAUGAGGUCAGGAUAUUUCUGAAGCCCGUCUGGUUGUACCACUGCAAGAGCCUGGGAGUACAACACAGUGCAUUUUCCUAGAGGGCCAACUUACUUAGUGAUGGAGGAAUGCUCAAGAACACAGGGAAGAAAAAUAGCUGGUUUGUUUUUUCCAAGGUUGGAAAACGAAGAAGAUAAGAAUAAGUGCAUCAACGACACAGUGUAUUUUUAAAGUUUUUUGUUUUUAAUUUUUGUGGGUACAUAGUAGAUAUAUAUAGUUAUGAGGACAUAGUGAAUUUUUUUUAGAGACCAAAAUUUUAGAAAUUCUGAAUGCUUUGGGGCAAUUGAAUUGGAGUGACAUUAUGCCUUUAAAGAAAAAAAACCAUGAAACUUCAAGCCCUGUUUUAAAAACUGUGAUGAGGCUUCAUUGGGAUUUAACUACCUAAUAGCUAAAUGGCCAUUAAAAGAUUUAUUAGAUAUUCACUUUAACUGACCCCAGGGGUGUCCUUCAAUUUUACUCAACAGCUGCAGUUUCUUUUGACUUUUUUGGCUCUUUUUUUUUUAAUCUCCCAAAAUGCUGAUAUAUGCAAAAGAUGUAUACAUCAAAGUGAUGUUUUAAUUCACUAAGUGCCUGAGGGGAAGGUGCACUAAGAAAAUAUAUUCAGUGAGAAGUUAGUUUGUAAUAGUGUUUAUUACCACAACUGAAGACACCAUUGUGGACACUAGAGACAAAUAGCCCACAACAAUAGGAAUCAAUCUUUAAUACACAUGAAGAAACUAAGAUAAUAUA
rnacentral:lncRNA from 1 species